CUCAGGCUGUGACCCUCCAGAGGGAAGUAUUUUCUGUUGUUGAAGGAAAAGAAAGUGCUUCCCUUUGGACUGUUUCGGUUUGAG
rnacentral:pre_miRNA from 1 species